AUUGGGAACCACUGCCCUAAACGCACCAGAUCCUGCCUGACCUUAAAAACUAAGCAGGGUCAGACCUGGUUAAUUCUUAAAUGGGAGACCUACCAUGAAUAUCAGGUGCUUUUAGUU
rnacentral:rRNA from 1 species